rnacentral:rRNA from 1 species
CCUACGGGGGGCUGCAGUGGGGAAUAUUGCACAAUGGGGGAAACCCUGAUGCAGCGACGCCGCGUGAGUGAAGAAGUAUCUCGGUACGUAAAGCUCUAUCAGCAGGGAAGAAAGUGACGGUACCUGACUAAGAAGCACCGGCUAACUACGUGCCAGCAGCCGCGGUAAUACGUAGGGGGCAAGCGUUAGCCGGAUUUACUGGGUGUAAAGGGAGCGGAGACGGCAGGACAAGUCUGGUGUGAAAUCCCGGGGCUUAACCCCGGAACUGCUUUGGAAACUGUGCGGCUGGAGUGCAGGAGGGGUAAGCGGAAUUCCUAGUGUAGCGGUGAAAUGCGUAGAUAUUAGGAGGAACACCGGUGGCGAAGGCGGCUUACUGGACUGUAACUGACGUUGAGGCUCGAAAGCGUGGGGAGCAAACAGGAUUAGAUACCCGUGUAGUC